rnacentral:rRNA from 1 species
GACGAACGCUGGCGGCGUGCCUAAUACAUGCAAGUAGAACGCUGAAGAGAGGAGCUUGCUCUUCUUGGAUGAGUUGCGAACGGGUGAGUAACGCGUAGGUAACCUGCCUUGUAGCGGGGGAUAACUAUUGGAAACGAUAGCUAAUACCGCAUAACAAUGGAUGACACAUGUCAUUUAUUUGAAAGGGGCAAUUGCUCCACUACAAGAUGGACCUGCGUUGUAUUAGCUAGUAGGUGAGGUAAUGGCUCACCUAGGCGACGAUACAUAGCCGACCUGAGAGGGUGAUCGGCCACACUGGGACUGAGACAACGCCCAGACUUCUACGGGAGGCAGCAGUAGGGAAUCUUCGGCAAUGGGGGCAACCCUGACCGAGCAACGCCGCGUGAGUGAAGAAGGUUUUCGGAUCGUAAAGCUCUGUUGUAAGUCAAGGACGGGUGUGAGAGUGGAAAGUUCACACUGUGACGGUAGCUUACCAGAAAGGGACGGCUAACUACGUG